GACGAACGCUGGCGGCGUGCCUAAUACAUGCCAGUAGAACGCUGAAGGAGGAGCUUGCUUCUCUGGAUGAGUUGCGAACGGGUGAGUAACGCGUAGGUAACCUGCCUGGUAGCGGGGGAUAACUAUUGGAAACGAUAGCUAAUACCGCAUAAUAGUAGAUGUUGCAUGACAUUUGCUUAAAAGGUGCAAUUGCAUCACUACCAGAUGGACCUGCGUUGUAUUAGCUAGUUGGUGGGGUAACGGCUCACCAAGGCGACGAUACAUAGCCGACCUGAGAGGGUGAUCGGCCACACUGGGACUGAGACACGGCCCAGACUCCUACGGGAGGCAGCAGUAGGGAAUCUUCGGCAAUGGACGGAAGUCUGACCGAGCAACGCCGCGUGAGUGAAGAAGGUUUUCGGAUCGUAAAGCUCUGUUGUAAGAGAAGAACGAGUGUGAGAGUGGAAAGUUCACACUAUGACGGUAUCUUACCAGAAAGGGACGGCUAACUACGUG
rnacentral:rRNA from 1 species